rnacentral:rRNA from 1 species
AACGAACGUUGGCGGCGUGGAUUAGGCAUGCAGGUCGAACGAAUCCCUUGGGGCUUGCUCCGAGGGGGAAGUGGCGAAAGGGGCAGUAAGGCGUGGGUAACCUACCUUGGGGACGGGGAUAGCCUUCCUAACGGAAGGGUAAUACCUGGCGAUGUAAUUGGUCUGCAUGGAUCGAUUACCAAAUGAAUUUCGCCCUGAGAGGGGCCCACGUAGUAUUAGCUUGUUGGUGAGGUAACGGCUCACCAAGGCCAAGAUGCUUAGCGGGUGUGAGAGCACGACCCGCGCCACUGGCACUGAGACACUGGCCAGACUCCUACGGGAGGCUGCAGUCGAGGAUCUUCGGCAAUGGGCGCAAGCCUGACCGAGCGACGCCGCGUGUGCGAUGAAGGCCUUCGGGUUGUAAAGCACUGUCGAGGGGGAGAAAGCCGCAAGGUUGAUCAAUCCCUGGAGGAAGCACGGGCUAAGUUCGUGCCAGCAGCCGCGGUAAGACGAACCGUGCGAACGUUGUUCGGAAUCACUGGGCUUAAAGGGCGCGUAGGCGGGUCUCCAAGUCUGUGGUGAAAGCCUCCAGCUUAACUGGAGAAGUGCCGUGGAUACUGGGG